CAUUGUAUGCUGGACUAUCAGAAUAUAGUCAACCCACUGAUCUCUAACCAUCUAACUCUGAAUAGGAAUAAUAAUUACAAUACAAACACUGGCAUCAAAUCUCUGUGUGAGAAAUCCUGCUGGUUUGCUGACAUCGAGGCCCCUCAGUUCAAGAGUCUCUGGGGGUUUGUGUGUGGAACGUGUAUCUGGGUAGCAUGGGAACAGCCGGGCUGCGUCUGGGAAAGGAAGCAGGCUGUCCCUUGUUGUUGCACAAUCUAAUUAUCUCUGAGUUUCAGUGAUAAGAAACUGGACAUGGGCUUUUUGUGACCAGUUGUGCAUCUGUUAGCUGGCUGGUAUACGAUUUGAAGCAUCUUCUUCACAGGUUCUAAUCAAGGCUUUUUCCAAGGGAUCCUCAAGAGAAAAAUACUGCUUUAAAGAGCAACAUAAAAAAAGCUGGGAUGGUGUCUGCUGCAUAUAUGCUGGUACUUAUAUUCGUCAAGACAGGAAUGGCUGCAAAACGUCUUGCUCCACCAUGUGACCAGCACAUGUUUAAUAGCAAUGUUGACAAUUGCCUGUCAGACUUCAACAAAAGCAUGGAGACAAGUGGCUAUCAGGACAGGUGCCCAUGGCCUGCUGUAAAAAGCAUCUACUACAAACUGAAGAGUUGCGUGGAUGGCUGGGCAGAAACGUCUUGGUGUAAGGGAUAUCAAUUUAUGCCAGAGAAGGUCUUCCUAAAUGUCCAUGAGACAUACUUCUUGGUUUGUGGACAAGUCCAAGACCCCCCACUCAUCACUCUCAUUAUGUUAAUAGCACCUGUUGUCAUUGUGACAUUAUUCCUGCCAUUCCUGUGUUCUGGCUUGAACUUAUUCUCAUAAUUGUGGCUAUUCUGAUAUUUGGUCUUGCUAACAUCGAAUUUGCCUACCUUUCGAGAGAUUGGAAAAAGUGGACUCCAGCAAAACAGCAUAACAAACGUUUUAAUAAACCUUAAUUUUCCAAAAGAAUAAUAAUUCAAUAACUGAAAACACUGGUCUUUAAGUCAAAACAAAAAACAGGAGGAACUAACUUGUUGGCUAACCAAACUCAUUGCCUAUUCAUCUGCUCUUGCCGGUUUGUUUACAUGUGUGAGGUUGUGUGUUACUCUGCCAUAACAAUAUUAGGACAUGGGAAGUUUUUGUUUGAAUUAGUGUCUUCUUUGGUUAUUUAAAAAAACUGAAUGUAGAGACUGGUUCAGUGGACUAGCAGGAGGAUUAUUGUGAGCCAAUCACCUUUGAGCUAGUCGACUCAGAGUACACAAACAAAUAACUAAAUGAAACUAAAUUACAGAGUGAAGACAAAAAAAGGCUGACAUGGUAUGCAACAAUUCUUACAACCCCUUAAGCAAUGACUUUUAGGAUAUUUUACAUUAUGGCAGAUAAGUCAAUAGUUUGGUUAGCUGGCAAGUUACCCUGGAAAGUAGAUCCCUGUGCAGUUAGGAACAAUAACUAAUCCAGGGGAAUAAUUCCUGUGUUUGCUUUUGGCCAGACUUAUAGACAAGCAUUUGAAAAGAUUUAUGUAUUUGGAAAGCUUUAGGAGGCUCAAGCUAUUAGCCCUGAUAUUAUCUUCCUGAAAUCUCUCAAAUGAAGGUGGUGAGUGCAAAAUUGGCAUGACCUAUAGUGAGAACAGCAACAACUAUGAAAACAAGACCUGGGUUAAAGAAAAGUACCAAAACAGAUACACACACAUACAACAUCAACAACAACAUCUGUUAAAAGGAAAUAUUUUACACAAACAUCAUAUCUCUUAAUGAUUGGGUGUGUCAUGAAAUUCUGUGAAACAGCAUCAAACAUAUGAUACAUUCUUUAAACAUAAAUUUAUACUUGACUGUCUAAAUACUGAACGUCUCAACUUUCUGAAGCUCAUUAUCUUUUCAUAUAUUUUGUCAUAUAUAGUCAACUCCACCCAUCUGGCACCUAUAGUAAGUAGAGGAAAACAAAACCUUAACAUUGAUUUACUGCACUGUUUCCCACCGAUUAUUUCAGAAGUCUACAUGAUUCUUGAAUAAUCUGUACUGUACUGUAUUUUUUUUUAAGAUGACAAAAGAACCAAUUCUGUUUGUAUUUGAAACACAUAAUAAAUAUUUAUUUCAGACAAAAAAAUAAUGUUUUACAGUUGUUUGAAAACCUCUUUACAGCAAUAGCAAGAUGGACCUGCUAUUCAAGUAUCCACAUGGCCUAAGAGUCUGUUACAAAUGCAAACAUACCACAUUUCAUAAUUUGUCAGAAGAUGAGUAUAAAUCAAGGGGCUGUUGUGUAGACGUCAUGAAGAUGGUGUGUUAUCAAAACAAAAUAAAGCUUCAUUUAGCAAGUUCAACGUUUCAGUUUCAACUUUGAAUCUACUGACUGACAAUCAACACCAAAAUCUGCAGCUCUCUACAUGACCAGUAAGGUAGAGAGAUGAAAUAAACAAGAGGGGAUUGAAGAGAAUCGAGGUGGACCAAAUAUAAUUUGCACAAUACUGAUCAUGACCAUGUUGCUCUGUUUCUGCUGGAUGUGUAUCAAGAUGAUUCAUUGCUAACACAUUAAGCCUUACACCUCGACUUGUUAGUGUGAGUAUGUUGUGAAGUUACUCUCUGUGCUAUAGUUGUUAAAAAAAAAAAAAAAAAAAA